rnacentral:rRNA from 1 species
CGUGUAGGUUGUUUUGCAAGUCGAAUGUGAAAGCCCUUGGCUUAACCAAGGAAGUGCAUUCGAAACUGCGUGACUAGAGUUCAGGAGGGGAGAGCGGAAUUCUCGGUGUAGUGGUGAAAUACGUGGAGAUCGAGAAGAACACCAGCGGUGAAAACGGCUCUCUGGACUGCAACUGACACUGAAGCGCGAAAGCAUGGGGAGCGAACG